rnacentral:rRNA from 1 species
CCUACGGGGGGCAGCAGUGGGGAAUAUUGGACAAUGGGCGAAAGCCUGAUCCAGCCAUGCCGCGUGUGUGAAGAAGGCCUUCGGGUUGUAAAGCACUUUCAGUGGGGAAGAAAGCCUUGGGGCUAAUACCCUCGAGGAAGGACAUCACCCACAGAAGAAGCACCGGCUAACUCCGUGCCGGCAGCCGCGGUAAUACGGAGGGUGCGAGCGUUAAUCGGAAUUACUGGGCGUAAAGCGCGCGUAGGCGGUCUGAUAAGCCGGUUGUGAAAGCCCCGGGCUCAACCUGGGAACGGCAUCCGGAACUGUCAGGCUAGAGUGCAGGAGAGGAAGGUAGAAUUCCCGGUGUAGCGGUGAAAUGCGUAGAGAUCGGGAGGAAUACCAGUGGCGAAGGCGGCCUUCUGGACUGACACUGACGCUGAGGUGCGAAAGCGUGGGUAGCAAACAGGAUUAGAUACCCCUGUAGC